rnacentral:rRNA from 1 species
CGAGAGAGAGCUUGCUUUCUCAAGCGAGUGGCGAACGGGUGAGUAACGCGUGAGGAACCUGCCUCAAAGAGGGGGACAACAGUUGGAAACGACUGCUAAUACCGCAUAAGCCCACGACCCGGCAUCGGGUAGAGGGAAAAGGAGCAAUCCGCUUUGAGAUGGCCUCGCGUCCGAUUAGCUAGUUGGUGAGGUAACGGCCCACCAAGGCGACGAUCGGUAGCCGGACUGAGAGGUUGAACGGCCACAUUGGGACUGAGACACGGCCCAGACUCCUACGGGAGGCAGCAGUGGGGAAUAUUGCACAAUGGGGGAAACCCUGAUGCAGCGACGCCGCGUGGAGGAAGAAGGUCUUCGGAUUGUAAACUCCUGUUGUUGAGGAAGAUAAUGACGGUACUCAACAAGGAAGUGACGGCUAACUACGUGCCAGCAGCCGCGGUAAAACGUAGGUCACAAGCGUUGUCCGGAAUUACUGGGUGUAAAGGGAGCGCAGGCGGGAAGACAAGUUGGAAGUGAAAUCCAUGGGCUCAACCCAUGAACUGCUUUCAAAACUGUUUUUCUUGAGUAGUGCAGAGGUAGGCGGAAUUCCCGGUGUAGCGGUGGAAUGCGUAGAUAUCGGGAGGAACACCAGUGGCGAAGGCGGCCUACUGGGCACCAACUGA